rnacentral:rRNA from 1 species
GAUGAACGCUGGCGGCGUGCCUAAUACAUGCAAGUCGAGCGAACAGACGAGGAGCUUGCUCCUCUGACGUUAGCGGCGGACGGGUGAGUAACACGUGGAUAACCUACCUAUAAGACUGGGAUAACUUCGGGAAACCGGAGCUAAUACCGGAUAAUAUAUUGAACCGCAUGGUUCAAUAGUGAAAGACGGUUUUGCUGUCACUUAUAGAUGGAUCCGCGCCGCAUUAGCUAGUUGGUAAGGUAACGGCUUACCAAGGCGACGAUGCGUAGCCGACCUGAGAGGGUGAUCGGCCACACUGGAACUGAGACACGGUCCAGACUCCUACGGGAGGCAGCAGUAGGGAAUCUUCCGCAAAGGGCGAAAGCCUGACGGAGCAACGCCGCGUGAGUGAUGAAGGUUUUCGGAUCGUAAAACUCUGUUAUUAGGGAAGAACAAAUGUGUAAGUAACUAUGCACGUCUUGACGGUACCUAAUCAGAAAGCCACGGCUAACUACGUG